AGUGAACGCUGGCGGUAGGCCUAACACAUGCAAGUCGAACGGCAGCACAGUAAGAGCUUGCUCUUACGGGUGGCGAGUGGCGGACGGGUGAGGAAUACAUCGGAAUCUACUUUUUCGUGGGGGAUAACGUAGGGAAACUUACGCUAAUACCGCAUACGACCUACGGGUGAAAGCAGGGGAUCUUCGGACCUUGCGCGAUUGAAUGAGCCGAUGUCGGAUUAGCUAGUUGGCGGGGUAAAGGCCCACCAAGGCGACGAUCCGUAGCUGGUCUGAGAGGAUGAUCAGCAACACUGGAACUGAGACACGGUCCAGACUCCUACGGGAGGCAGCAGUGGGGAAUAUUGGACAAUGGGCGAAAGCCUGAUCCAGCCAUACCGCGUGGGUGAAGAAGGCCUUCGGGUUGUAAAGCCCUUUUGUUGGGAAAGAAAAGCAGCAGGUUAAUACGCCGCUGUUCUGACGGUACCCAAAGAAUAAGCACCGGCUAACUUCGUG
rnacentral:rRNA from 1 species